rnacentral:rRNA from 1 species
GGCGAGCGUUAUCCGGAUUUACUGGGCGUAAAGCGCACGCAGGUGGUAGCCAAAGUGGUGCGUGAAAGCUCUCGGCUCAACUGGGAGAGGACGUACCAAACUAGGGUACUGGAGACAGGUCAAGGCUGACGGAAUUCCGGGUGGAGUGGUGAAAUGCGUAGAGAUCCGGAGGAACACCAGUGGCGAAGGCGGUCAAGCUGGGCCUGGACUGACACUGAGGUGCGAAAGCGUGGGGAGCGAACGGGAUUAGAAACCCCGGUAGUCCACGCCGUAAACGAUGCAGACUAGAUGUUGGGCUCCGAGAGGGGUUUAGUGUCGAAGCAAACGCGAUAAGUCUGCCGCCUGGGGAGUACGGUCGCAAGGCUAAAACUCUAACGAAUUGACGGGGACCCGCACAAGCAGCGGAGCGUGUGGUUUAAUUCGAUGCUACACGAAGAACCUUACCUGGGAUUGACAUAUGGGUGGUAGUGAGCCGAAAGGCAAGCGACCCUUCGGGGAGCCUAUACAGGUGCUGCAUGGCUGUCGUCAGCUCGUGCCGUGAGGUGUCGGGUUAAGUCCCGUAACGAGCGCAACCCCUGUCCUUAGUUACAAGUGUCUAAGGGGACUGCCGGCGGGAAGCCGGAGGAAGGUGGGGAUGACGUCAAGUCAGCAUGGCCCUUAUAUCCAGGGCGACACACACGCUACAAUGGUCGGUACAGAGGGCAGCGAAGCCGCGAGGUGGAGCGAAACCCAGAAAGCCGGUCGUAGUUCGGAUUGCAGGCUGCAACUCGCCUGCAUGAAGUUGGAGUUGCUAGUAACCGCAGGUCAGCCAAUACUGCGGUGAAUACGUUCCCGGGUCUUGUACACACCGCCCGUCACGUCAUGGGAG